UCAACAUACCGGCCAACAUGGAUAUUUUCGGGUUUGCGGCGAAACGACAAGCCCAGCCUUCUCUUUCUUCGCUUCUCUUUGACCUCGUCGCGACGCGAAACACCAUCCUCCGGAUAUCUUCAUCUAUCCUGAUCCUGAUCGUUCCCGAGUCUUCCGCGCCCUUGGCGGUGCUCCUUUGGUCUCGUAUACGUUCCGUUGCUUCCGUUUUAUCGAUCAGAACCUUGGUCGUGUUGGAGCAAGGUCCGUCUCGAAGCGUAUUGGAUGCAACUUACUUUUCACACGUUAUUGGGUUAGAAUUGGGUUGAACCUUUUUGAGGAGCGAUUAUGUUUGUGCUUUGUGCUAAUGAGAUUAUAGAUGGUGGAUGGUUAUUUGAGCGGAUAGUAAAUGAGAGAUAAAUUAAUUAGGAUUUUCUUAAUGCGUUAGAUUAGAUUUGUGGAAAUAUAGAUAUUGUAGAUAUCCUGUAGAUAUUUGAUGAUAACUGGAGAAAUAGAAAAAAAAAUUUUUUUUUUCCUAAAAUAUAGAUAUAUAUUUAAGUUAUCGAUAUAAAUAAUUUAUAUUAUAGAAAUGUAAGAAGAAAGGCUAUUUAAAAAAGAAUAUAAUUAAGAAAAAAAUUUGGAAAAAUAUUUAUAGAUAAAAUUUAUUAUUGCGAGAGACAGAGAUUGUACUGCCAUUUAUUUGACCUUGAAAUCAUCUUGAACAACUCUAACCAAGUCACAAUUUUUUUUUUCCUUAUAUUCUUAUCGCGGAUUUUUAAAAUGUUAUGGAAAUAUCAAUUGAUAAAAUGUAUAGAAACAAUAUUAUUUCAAUUAAAAUUACCAAUAAAAAGACAAUUAUUAAUACAAAACAAUAUUGACGCGAUUGUACUUUAAAUAUAGAUAUUAAAUUCAGACAUUGCUUUCAGACUCGGAAUUGAACGAGUGAAAAAAAUGAUUGAAAAAAUGUAAUAUUUACUUACAUGUUGCACAAAAUAAGUAUUUAAAAGUAAAUAUACUGGUUUAUUCGUAAGUGAAGGAAUUAUGGUAGAUGUAAAGCGUGGUAAAAUAUUGGGAAAAAGAAAAAAUUGAGUUUCUCGAAGCAAGGUUUGCUCGCUACUUGUUAGCAUCGUCGAGGUAUGGUAAUAAGUGGGAAGGCGAGGCUUAUCUACUCAUAAGUUGCUUACUCAUUAUUGUGCCGGUUUUGAAUAAUUUACAGCGACGACACGUCGGGGCACGUGGCCGUUCCUCUCGUACGCUGUGCAACUAGUAUUUACGAUUUUGUAAAAGGGACUGUACGAUAAGAUAAUGGUGACAGUAAUUUAAAGACGCUCGUGUGUGAUUUAGAAGUAAAAACGAGGCCGUGUAAGGAUCCGUAGAUUUCUUGAUCGAGAUUGUUCUUUCAAAAAAUCUGAAAGAAAAAAGUCUGGGACACUUAUUGAAGUUUUUUACUUCGUUAUACAAUCAUUCAUAAAAUUAAAUAAAGGAUCCAGUGGGAAAUAGAAGUUAUGGGAACCGGAAGGAUAUUCUCAAGCACAUUUACAGCAGUUAAAUAGCCACUAGGAUCGAUUUUGGAGAAAGUGACCAAAGUGGUAGUGAAACGACCGGUACUAUAAAACAACUUUGAAAGUGUUACUUGAGAGAAAAAUAGAAAGAAGUAAUAAAGAAAGGUUCUGGAUGAAUCUGAUUAACUCUCUUAACUUUAUAACAUUAGAACUAACAAAUCAAAUUGGUUUGGUUUUAGAUUUUUUGUUUUUGUAAUUGUUAAAAAAAACCAAAUCAUUUUCUUCCAUAAAAUUUU